rnacentral:ncRNA from 1 species
UCCAAGUAGUUUGGGUAUAACAACGUGCGAAUUAAAGGCUGAGAUCGCGUAGCGAGACCCGUUGAACCUGAUUCAGUUAGGACUGACGUAGGGAACUAUCCUCAACCGCUG